CUUAUAUAUGUACAAAAAUAAGGUGGUUGCAUCCUAACCAGUUUCAAGACUGCUGCCACACUGGAGGAAGGGCUGCAGAAAGGGCAAAAAUCCGAAGGC